rnacentral:rRNA from 1 species
GAUGAACACUGGCGGCGUGCCUAAUACAUGCAAGUCGAGCGAAUGGAUUAAGAGCUUGCUCUUAUGAAGUUAGCGGCGGACGGGUGAGUAACACGUGGGUAACCUGCCCAUCAGACUGGGAUAACUCCGGGAAACCGGGGCUAAUACCGGAUAACAUUUUGAACCGCAUGGUUCGAAAUUGAAAGGCGGCUUCGGGUGUCACUUAUGGAUGGACCCGCGUCGCAUUAGCUAGUUGGUGAGGUAUCGGCUCACCAAGGCAACGAUGCGUAGCCGACCUGAGAGGGUGAUCGGCCACACUGGGACUGAGACACGGCCCAGACUCCUACGGGAGGCAGCAGUAGGGAAUCUUCCGCAAUGGACGAAAGUCUGACGGAGCAACGCCGCGUGAGUGAUGAAGGCUUUCGGGUCGUAAAACUCUGUUGUUAGGGAAGAACAAGUGCUAGUUGAAUAAGCUGACACCUUGACGGUACCUAACCAGAAAGCCACGGCUAACUACGUGCCAGCCGCCGCCGUAA